GCGGGCCCGUAGUUCAGUGGUAGAACGCCGCUUUUGCAAAGCGGAGGUCAGGA
rnacentral:tRNA from 1 species